rnacentral:rRNA from 1 species
AAGGCUUGACAUGUCGGCGAUUCCCGCGGAGACGCGGUCUCCCCCUUGUGGGGCGCCGUCACAGGUGGUGCAUGGUUGUCGUCAGCUCGUGUCGUGAGAUGUUGGGUUAAGUCCCGCAACGAGCGCAACCCCUGUCCCGUGUUGCCAGCACGUCGUGGUGGGGACUCGCGGGAGACUGCCGGGGUCAACUCGGAGGAGGGUGGGGAUGACGUCAAAUCAUCAUGCCCCUUAUGUCUUGGGCUUCACGCAUGCUACAAUGGCCGGUACAGAGGGUUGCGAUGCCGCGAGGCGGGGCGAAUCCCUUAAAGCCGGUCUCAGUUCGGAUCGGUGUCUGCAACUCGACACCGUGAAGUUGGAGUCGCUAGUAAUCGCGGAUCAGCAACGCCGCGGUGAAUACGUUCUCGGGCC